rnacentral:rRNA from 1 species
UACAGAGGUCUCAAGCGUUGUUCGGAUUCAUUGGGCGUAAAGGGUGCGUAGGCGGCGUGGUAAGUCGGCUGUGAAAUCUCGGAGCCUAACUCCGAAACUGCAUUCGAUACUGCCGUGCUUGAGGACUGGAGAGGAGACUGGAAUUUACGGUGUAGCGGUGAAAUGCGUAGAUAUCGUAAGGAAGACCAGUGGCGAAGGCGGGUCUCUGGACAGUUCCUGACGCUGAGGCACGAAGGCCAGGGGAGCAAACGGG